UAAUACGGAGGGUGCAAGCGUUAAUCGGAAUUACUGGGCGUAAAGCGCGCGUAGGCGGUUAUUUAAGUCAGAUGUGAAAGCCCUGGGCUCAACCUGGGAACUGCACCUGAUACUGGAUAACUAGAGUACAGAAGAGGGUGGUGGAAUUUCCUGUGUAGCGGUGAAAUGCGUAGAUAUAGGAAGGAACAUCAGUGGCGAAGGCGGCCACCUGGUCUGAUACUGACGCUGAGGUGCGAAAGCGUGGGGAGCAAACAGGAUUAGAUGCCCUGGUAGUCCACGCCGUAAACGAUGUCUACUAGCCGUUGGGGAGCUUGUCUCUUUAGUGGCGCAGCUAACGCAUUAAGUAGACCGCCUGGGGAGUACGGUCGCAAGAUUA
rnacentral:rRNA from 1 species